rnacentral:tRNA from 2 species
GACUCCGUAGCUCAGCUGGUAGAGCAAAUGACUCUUAAUCAUUGGGUCGAGGGUUCGAAUCCCUCCGGGGUCA